CUGGGACAGGACCAGGAACUGUUGGCGGGGCCGGGCCGGGACUGGAGCACUGGGCGGAGAUCCGGACCGCACCGGCGACGGUGGGGCGGGAGAAGCCGCCUUCUGAGACCAGGCCGCCCCCGUCUACGUGAAGACUCUGCCAGGUGAAGACUCUUGCCUUGCGCUCUGCACCAUCAGCCUCUUGUUAUCUGUUCCCCCUAGGACUCCCCAAUUUUUGACAGUGACAGUCUCCUUUCGGUGGUCCCGCCCAAAGUGGAAUCUGAGCAAGUGGCACCCUACUACCUGCGCAGCCCUCAAACGUCUGCAGAUGCUGCUCACAGUCUUCUGGACACCCAGGGAUCUCUUAGAGGAAGCCUGAAAAUAAAUGAGAAGCUUUAUAAACAUUUAGGACUGACUGACAGACCUGAACCCAGCAUGAGGAGACAAAGGUGCCAACACCCCCAGGCCCCUACGUGGAUACCCAACAUGAGCAGUUUCUCUGUGCUCCUGAGCCUCUUCUCAGUACUACAGGAAGGACACUCACCGGCACCUCACAGAAGGGGAAGCCAGAAGGCUCAGUGAUCAUCACACUCUGAGUGCAGGGGUCUUGCUAAAUUGCUUAGGUUCUCAACUAAGUUGUCCAAGCUGGCCUUAAACUGAUUCUCCUGCCUCAGCCUCCUGAAUUGCUGAAAUGCAGACACAACAUCUUUGUUUUGUAUGUGGUGCUGAGGAUCGAACCCGGGCUGCACGCAUGCCAGGCGAGCGCGCUACCGCUUGAGCCACAUCCCCAGCCCCUGCUGUGGAUAUUUAUGAAAAUAGGUAUUUGACCUGCAUAAUCACUUACAUGUAAACAAUAUUUUGUACAUGCAUGCAUUUACACAGCCAUUCUGUUUUCAACAAAUAGAGUCAUGUCAUGCCUGCA